GGGGACAUGGGGUAGCCAGGUUAACCUUACAGGCUCCAGACCUGUAGACCCGGGUUCGAAUCCCGGUGUCCCCA
rnacentral:tRNA from 1 species